AGUUGAGGUACAUGUACUUAAAAUCCCUCCUGGAAUACACCCAAAUUACAAAAGAAAACAAAGUUACCUACUAAAAAUUAGAAGGAGUGAGCAAGAGAAGCUUAGGUAGUUAUCCAUUUUUUUAAUUCGAUUUUAUGUAAUUAACAUUGUUCCAAAUGUUGUAUGAUACCAUUUAUAUCCUAAUAGUGUUGUAAGUUUUAAUAGAUCAUUGCAGAGGAUACAGGAUUAUGAGCAAGACAUUUCCAACUAAACAAUAAAUCAUUGCUACCAUCCUUUGGUAGGGAGUUGCAAAUUUUGAUUCUGUCUGAGGGCAUUUAGCACAAGCAAGCUUUUGAAUGGCUGGAGCUAAAUGGAGACUUAAAAAGAAAAAUUAUCCCAUUUAAUUGCCAAAACUAACAGGACCAUGCAGUUUAAGUGUUCAGACAUUUAUGGUGCAAAUGCUCAUACAGGCAGCUGAUGUCAGUUCUGGGAACUGGUAUUAAGAGCAGUGGCAUGAAACAGAGUUGAUGAAUUAGACAGAAAAGACAGUCCAUUUUCGGAUUGCUUUCAAAAAAGCAGCAAGAGAGAAGCAAAGCUGCAAAAGCAAAUGAAAACUCCAGCCCAGAACUUGACAUUUGAAAUAUCAAAAUUAUAGUUGGGAGAGAUUAAAAUUGCUGCCCAGUCUGUGAUGUUUUCCACUCAUCUCUCUUGGAGGAUGAAAAUCACUGUUUUUUUAAAGUUCUCUUUUUUUCUUAUUAGCUGCCUUAGAAGACGUUUUUGUUAGAAUGACUGAGUCCUUAGAAAAUGUUUUUGUUAGAAUGACUGAGUCCCAAAGUGAAAUUUCCCAAAGUAUGUGUUAAAGAACAGAAGCAGUAUUAAAAAGUGAAUAAGCUGCUUAAAGAUCCUUAAAACAGACAUAUCAUCUUAAAUAUCUAAGAUACCUUCAUCCAUAGAAAAACAAAAUCCACAUCCUCCCUAAAAGUGAUCAGGCUUUUAGAGCAUGCCAGAAGAUGAUAUUAAUAUUCAGUCUUGCAUCAUUCUCCUUCUUUUCCUGGACACAGUAAAUCAUCAUCACUGGAGAAAAGGACCAGCAUUUGGGAGAGCUUUUCAUAGCCUGUGUAAUUAAGUUAAGGAAUUUUAAAGAGGAAUUUUUCUAAGUCUCAGAGGGAAAAAGUGUUCUCUUUAUAUUAGCAGUACAGACACUGUUGUGUUCCAAGAAUGGACACCAAGGAUGAAUUCAAUGAAUUCCCUCUUUGUAUCACACAUUUGUACCAGGUUCUUUUCAGAAAUCAGGAUUUUUAAAAGCAAAAAACAUUUUCUUUCUUAGAUGUUGCAGUUAACUUCAUGUAGUGUAGGUAAUAUAGCUGCUGCAUUUAAAACAAUCCUAUAUACUUUAUCAUCCUCACAUAGUUCUGAGGACUGGGAUAAGUCCUGUUGUGUGGGACAACAUUCAGAGUAAAUUUGGGCAUUAAAUAAAUGAUAGUGAAGAAUCUGCCUCUUUUUAAACCUGUAAUGAAAUGACUUUCCUAGUCAAGAAAUAUACAUUUUCUGUUCUUUUUUAAUCUGAUUAUUUGCCUUUCUACUAGGAAGCAUCAUAUUUUUCAAAGUGCCUGCAUCAUCUCCUCAGAGGAUCUCUGUCUUUCUCUUCUGACUCAACACAUACAUACAUUUCUGCUCUAAUCUACAGUAAUACUUUGGAGUAGAACAACUGACAUAAGAUGUUUUUUAUAGAGAAAAAAUUACAUACCUUUUUCUUCUUUCCUUUUGGUCUUGGCAGAGGAUGCUUCUUAAAUGCUCACACUCACUGGGUGAGUUUGGGCAAAAGGAGAAGAGAGGAGGUGCUGGAAGGAGCUUCUUUACAAAUGAACCUUUGUCUGCCUUGUCUCUGGCCUGGGAUCGACAGACUCGCUGCUCCAGCCAGGACUGUGGGGAGGAGGGGAGUGGAAGGAGACAAGGCUGCAAGGACUGCCUCCUUUGGAAGUGUUCAGUUUGUUCCAAACCAGGCGAGAACGAAUAGAACAGCUUCUUUACAGAGGGAAAUAACUAGUCUAUACAAGAACCUCAGGGAGGCAGACUCUGGUAGCAAUAAAACAUAAAACCUGAGGGAUUUUAAAAGAACACAGAGUGAUUUUUCCCUUAAGAAAAGUGUGUGUGUGUGUGUGUGUGUGUGUUUGUGUGUCUGUGUGUGAGAGAGAGAGAGAGAGAGAAGAGGAAAGUGGGGAAUGGCUAGCUGCGCACCUCUUCCCCUUUCACAGUUUUCCUAGCCAUCUAGAUCUGUUACAAAAUCCUGGUAGAAGAUACGUUCCAAUUCACCUUCCAUUUCUCACCCAAAGACUCAUUAGUAGUCAAUGGAAAGCUAAAAUGAUGACUAAAAAGAAAUGUAUUCUGUGCCUUAGAAAUAAAAGCACAAAAGAAAUUUUAUUCUGUUUUCAGCAAACUAUACUGGAAUUCUAGCAUCUGUUAACUGUUGUUUAGGUUUUUAAAAAAUUCGAUUAGGAGUAGUGUUUUGGGAAUUAGAGAUAUUAUAUUGUAAUGGAGUUGGAAUUAUCUAGACAGACAAUUGAGGCAAGGGCAUUCCAGGUUGAAUUACAAAGGCAUGAAGGUGAAAAAGAGGGUGACAACUUCGGAGAUUAUAGGUGGUUUCAUUUGGCUAAAACCAAAGGUGGUAGGAGAUGAAAUUUGAGAGACAAGAAGCAGCAAAUUGAUGAAUUACCUCAUAUGCCAUGCUAAAAAAAUUGUUUUUAUCGUGAAGAUGAAUGGAAAGAUGAUGAAAACAUAUUAAAAAGGAUGAAAAGCCUGACUGCAGUGUGAAAGAAGGAUGGUUUCCUGGGAGGAAAGGAGACUAAAGACAGAAAAUACCGGCUUUUGCUGUAGUCCAGAAGGGAAGAUAGGAAGGAAAACUGAAAAGACCUGAUGACCACUUAAGUGUUUAUGUUUAGCAUAGAGAUAGGAAAUUUUAUUAACUUUCAAAGGCUUGGGCCUUUGGACGAUGAUACUGUUAAUCAUCUAGAAAAAGGAUAUAAAAGGAAUAACUGUUAUUCAUCUAGGAAAAAGAAUACAAAAGUUUUGGCUGGAGGAGGAGUGGGAAAAUAGAAAUGAGUUAGUUGGUGAACGUUGAGUUUAAGGAACCCUAAAUACAGUUGAGAAUGUUUAGUAGGCAGUUGGUUAAAUAGACCUAGAGCUUAGGAAAAAGCCUGGUCUAGAGAAUUAGUUCAUCAACCAAUCAACUCAAUAUCAAAUAAUCUCAACUAAAUAACUAAUGCAGGUAUUCAACUAAAUGAUAGCCGAAGUCAUGGUUGUACCACUAAGAAGUUACUGUGCUCUUACUGUGUGCCAGGCAUUUCAUACGUCUGAACUCGUUCACUCUCCUUCCAACCCUAUGAAGUAGGUACUAUUAUUAGUCCCAUUUUAUAAACGAGGGGAACAUCAGAGAUGUCAGGUAACCUGCCCCAAAUCACACACACAGCCAGAAAAUGGCGAGACCCUGGCAGUGUGUUUCUAGUGUCUUUGUUUCCCACCAUUAUGCUGUACUGCCCCUUAGAAUAGAUUAUAAAGUUCAUGAUACGACUGAGAGCAGAAUUAUUCAAGGAAUGGGCAGAGAACUGGGAAGGAAACUGAGAAGAGGUAGCCAAAGAAGUAGGGGAAAAUUAGGAGAGUGUCAUCAUGGAAGUUAAAGGAAGAGUAUUUCAAGAGAAUGGAGGUGAAUGGAAGGCUGCUAAUGACAGCAGUGCUGGGAGAACAACACGUGCACACCCUGAUAUGAAGGUAGGCAGAGCAAAGAGAAGGUCAAUACAACCAGAAGCAGUUCCAGCCCUGACAGAGAUCAAAUCUCUGCUUGGUCUCCAUUUCGCUGAAACUGGAGCAAGUGGCAUGGACCUCAGGAAGGGAGAUGAGAGGUGUGUGCGCAAUGGACUGCACAUUUCCUUUGCAUAUUUAUAAACAAGUCUGCUGUGAUUCUUACUAAAUAAAGAUGAUGCCAUACACAGAUGGAGUUAAUUUGUUUGCAUGAUUUAAAUGUAUAUAAAUAUGUGAAUAUGAGGAGGAAAAUGGAAACUAGCCUUUAUUCCACUUUAAGAGCUAUCCGUCCUGUUUACCUCAGGUAGAUCUAAACAGAGGUAUGGUGCCAAGGCAAAUCAACAUUCCCUGUAGAUGGAUCCUCUCUUUACUCUGUUUUACUCUUAUUUCCCUGUGUGUCUAAUUCUGUCUAAAUUUCCCUUAUUGUGUUGCUUAUUUUGUCUCCUUGUGUCUGAAUUCAUAGCUGCUCAAAAUAGUUGAUUCAUUUUUAUAUUCAGCAACACUGAAAUCCAUACAAUAUGCUUGGCAUUGUGCUUAUGAAUGCUGCCUGUAAGUGGUACACAGCAGCUCUUGGUAAUGAUCUAAUCAUCUCUGGAUCAUGUUCUGAGCCACUUAGGAAAGUUUUCCCCUAAGAAGCACAUUUGGACCCUGGCCUCCAAAUCCCUUGUGUUUUCAAACAUGUGUUUAUUACUAGCUGGACUUCCUAUCAUUUCUAGGAAGAAUCAUUAAACAAUAUCAAACUUAUAAUUGCUUGUCAUUCAUCCUGAUGUCCAUUACAUGGGGAUGUCCUUUUGAGAAGGAGUUCAAUUCCAAACCAAGGCCUGCAAUCACAGAGUCUGCCUUUGUGGUUUUUAAUUUGUGGCUCAAAUCUGAAACCACUCUUUGUUUUCCUGUAAAUGGAGCCUUAAGGCCUUUUAGUUUUCUUUCCUGAUGGGCUGUUACUCAGACCUCUUAUCGAACCCGCUUUAUGUUGCUCUGAAGACCACCUGUUUCUUUGAGACGGCCUCAGGAGCCUCCCAAAGUGAAUCUUUUAUGUGACAUAGAGCUUCUAUUUUAAGUAAAACCAUCCAAAUGUAAUGUACAGAUUUCCAGAAAAUAUGUCCAGCUAUGUAUUUUUAUGUGAUGAUGAUGACGAUGGUGAUGAUGAUGUGUGUGUUUAUUUCUAUAGGUAUAUGUUAUCACUCUUAGGUGCAGUCAGGUUUGUUAGAAAUAGAAAAUCCUCACAAAUUAGUGAUAAGACCAAUUCGUGAGUAGAGAAACAUUUUAUACAGAAUUUAAGCAAUUACAUUCAAAGUACUGAAAUUAAAUUUGUAAAGAGACCUAAUUAGUAUUUCUUUUUAAAAAAAAAAAAACCUCCCAAAAUUGAAAAAUUGAGAAAAACACCAAAAAACAGCAAAAUCCUUCCAAUCAGGUGAAGUCUGAAGAGAUGUCUCAGAUAUAAAUAAUUUCAGAUAUCAGACAUCUUAAGCUUGUGAGAGAAAAAAAAUGGAACAUGCAUUAGUUCUUCCUCUGAUGUCCACCUGGGAGCUCAUGCAUUCACCCUAAUUUAGAAUCUGCUGCUCCUCUGUUCCAUGAUUGACCCCUUUCUCUCAUUUCCCUCAGGCUUGACUCCUUCUGGGCUCACCAAGGCUGGCAGUAUGGGGAGAAGCAGCAGCUGGUUUCGGCCUUCACAGCUCACAUCUUCCCAGGAGAGAGGUCCUGAGUUAUUGCCCUAAUCUUCUCAAAGCUGUUUCACAGACACAAGCAUCUGGUGAGUUGAUAAUGUUAAUGAUAAUAGCAAUGAUACUAGUAAUAAUAAUGCUAUUAACUGCAUUGCCAAGUGUGCUAAACAUUUUGCAAAUGUUGUCUUAUUUAGUACACGCAACUUACUUACAUGAGGUAGUUUCCAGAUGGGGGAACUGGGGUUCAAAAAAAUUAAGCACUUGGCCAAGAUCACACAGCUGAUAAGUAGUGGAGCACAAACUGGAAACCAAGACAAAACUGUGCUCUUAGCCUGCUGCCACAAUAAAUAGCAAAAGAAAUAGAAUGAGAAAUUGGAGAACCUAAAACAACAGUACCUUUUUAAAAAAUUGUAGCCCAUAAUUUGAAUGUGCAUGAAUCACACCUGCUCUCUGUGAGCCACAGAGUCGUCUCUCUUUUACUGUGUUUCCUCCGUCCAUCUUCUGUUCAUAUUUGGCUUGAAACAGUUCUUAACUGGACAGUCAGAAACUUAAAGCAGCUGAAUGGUGUUUUCUACAAAGUCAGAUAUGGACAGUUGCCAAAAUAUCAGUCCUUGGGACAGAGUUUUUAAGUGAUUAUAAUUCUAGGAGUAAAACCAGUCACUCAGUAAAUAUUUGUUAAAUGAAUGAAUGAGUUAAUGAAUAAAUGAGUGAGGGGAUUAGAUUCUUGGGUACAGGAGAGGUUCUUGGGAAGUAAUCAUUCAUAAUUAUUUAUUGUGUGUCUGCUGUGUACCAUGAAUGAUAUUGCAGUGUCGCUGAAGGCAAAGUUCAGCAACUGAUCACUAUUUCUUCAAGGUCCUCUCCAAAGCACAAGCUACUUGGCCAGCCUGGCUGCUGAGUCCUAAUGUAAACCCUCAGUCUUCUCCCUUGUAAAAUAAGGGGUUUAAUUGAUUGUUUUUAUUGCUCUUCUACUUCCCAUUUUUCUAUGAGUAUAUGAUUCUAAAUAUCAUUUUUAAACAAACAUUUUUAUUUUAAAAUAGUUUUUCAUUUACAGAAAAACUGUUAGCUUAGUACAGAGACUUCCUAUAUACCCUAUAUCCAGUUUCCUCUAUUAUUUAACUCUUACAUUAGUGUGGUCCAUUUUUUAUAAUUAAUAAAUCUACAUUAAUACAUUAUUAUUAACUAAAGUUCAUACUUUAUUUAUUUGUACUUAGUUUUUACCUUUUCUGUUGCGGGAUCCCCUGCCCAGAACACCACAUUACAUUUAGUUGUAGUGUCUCUUCAGGCUCCUCAGUGUCUCCGACUUUGCCUGUUUUUGAUGACUUUGACCGUUUUGAGGAAUACUGGUCAAGUAUUUUGUAGAAUGCCUCUCAACUUAGAUCUGUCUAAUAUUGGUCUUAUGGUUAAACUUGGGUUAUGUGUUUGUAGAAAGAGGACCACAGAGUUAAAGUGCCAUUUCCAUCAUGUCAUAUCACACAUGAACAUACAGGUCAGGAACGUGACUUAUCACUAUUGAUUUAACUUCAAUCACCUGGCUCAAGUCGUUUUCGUUAUGUGGCUCCACUGCACAUUUACUCUUUUUCUCCCCCUUUCCAUAGUACACUCUGUGGAAGGAAGUCCCUAUGCAUGGUCCAUAUGUAAGGAGUGGGAAGUUAUGCUCUACCUCUUUGAGGGCGGAGUAACUACAUAAAUUUUGGAGAAUUUUUCUUCACAUGAAAUUUGUCCAUCAUUGCUUAUUUAUUUACUUGUAUUAGGAUGAACUCAUGUAUAUUUAUUCUAUACUUUGGAUUAUUUUAUACUUUGGAUUAAAAUAUUCCUUGCUCAAACUGUCCCAGCUUUUGCCUUUAGGGGCUCCUUUAGUUGCCUCUUGUGUCUCUAUGGCAUGCCCCAUCAAGGUCGUGGUUUUUGGUUUUGUUUUGUUUUUGUGCACUUUCUUCCUUUCUGGCACUAAAAGAUUGCUCCAAGCUCAUCUUGUGUAUUUCCUGUCCCAGUACUAGAAUCAGCCAUUUCUCCAAGGAGCCCUGGUUCCUUUCAUUGAAGAAUAAAUUAGAAACCAAGAUCUGGGAGCUAGGUGUGCUCACUAGUACUGGUGUGUCAUAGCUUCUCAUUCCUCUCAGCUGACAGAGCAAGGAAAUAUACUGUGUAUACCAACCUGUGUAAAUACACAUAUCUAUGAAUAUUGCUAUGCAUAACUGUCUGUAUCUACAACAACCUAAACAUGAGUUUAUUCUGAUGCCUCCAACUCUAAUCCAUUACUACGUGAAUCAUUUGAGCUUCCUCCUCUUGCUCAUCUGUAACCUCCUGCUCCAGCAGUGGGAACCUAACUCCUACUAUCAGCCACUUAUUUAAUUGUUCAUUUCCAGUAUACAUGUAUAGCAGCAUCGGAAUUGUUGGCACAUACCUCAUGGUAAACAAUUUUAUCAGCUGGAGUACAGUGUUUAUAUACGGUGUCUUUUACCUUUAGUUUGACAGACUCUACUCAUUUCCAAAGUUACAUAGGUCUGCAACUUCCCCCUCACUACGCCUUUCAGUGAGGUUGUUUCAUACAUGAGUAAUAAAGUUAGAUUGUUUUGUCACAUUCUGUUUUUAUCCUGGGAUUGUCCAACCUCCUAAAUAAUUGUUAGUAAUUUGCAUGUAUUAAGGUUCAGUCUUUGUGCUGAAAAGGUCUGUGGGUUUUGACAAGCACAUAGUGUCUUGUACAUACCAUUACAUUAUGAUACAGAAUAGUCUCUCUGCCCUAAAAUAUCUCCUGUGGUUUACCUAUUCAACCCUCCCCUCCCUCCUACCCUGAACUCCUGGCAGCCAUUGAUCUUUUUACCAUCUCUAUAGUUUUACCCCUUCUAGAAUGUCAUAUAAUUGGAAUCAUGUAGUAUGUAGCCAUUACAUACUGGCUUUUUUCACUUAGCAAUAUACAUUUAAGAUUCAUCUAUGUAUUUUCAUGGCUUGAUAAUUUCUUUUUAUCACUGAAUAAUAUUCCAUUGUAUAGAUAUACCAGUUUGUUUAUACUUUCACUUGUUGGAGGACAUCUUGGUUGCGUACAGUUUUGGAAAUUAAGAACAGAGGUGCGCGCUGGGCAUGGUGGCUCACGCCUGUAAUCUCAGCACUUUGGGGGGCCGAGAUGGGUGGAUCAUCUGAGGUCAGGAGUUUGAGACCAGCCUGGCCAACAUGGUGAAACCCUGUCUCUACUAAAAAUACAAAAAAUUAGCCAGGCAUGGGGGCACAUGCCUGUGAUCCUAGCUGCUCAGGAGGCUGAGACAGGAGAAUUGUUUGAACCUGGGAGGCAGAAGUUGCAGUGAGCUGAGAUCAUGCCACUGUAUUCCAGCCUGGGCGACAGAGCGAGAUCCAUCUCAAAAAAAAAAAAAAAUAGAGGUGCUGGGGCUGGAUGCGGUGGCUCACGCUUGUAAUCCCAGCACUUUAGGAGGCCGAGGUGGGCAGGUCACCUGAGGUCAGGAGUUUGAGACCAGCCUGACCAACAUGGUGAAACUCCAUCUGUACUAAAAAUACAAAAAUACAUUAAAAAAAAAAAUUAGCCGCACAUGGUGGCCAGCGCCCUGUAGUCCCAGCUACUGGAGAGGCUGAGGCAGAAGAAUCACUUGAACUUGGGAGGUGGAAGUUGCAGUGAGCCGAGAUAGCGCCACUGUACUCCAGCCUGGGCAACAGAGUGAGACUUCAUUUAAAAACGAAAAAAAGAGAGUAGAGGUGCUAUAAAUAUUUGUAUGCACGUUUUGUGUGGACAUAGUUUUCAAUAUCUUUUUAACAUUUAUUUUUCAGGUCAAUUAAAAUCAUUAUUUGUAAUAAUCUAGCCUUUAUGCAGCUUCUCAAAUAUAGCUAUUUUAAAAAUAAUAAACACAUUCAUAUAAUAAAUCCAUUCAGAAUCAGACACCAUUUUGUAUAAAAGUGUAAACAAUGAACCUGCAAUUAUUUUAUGGAAUAAGAUAACUUUAGGGCAGUUUAGCAGUAUUUCAUUUAACAUUCUUUGAAAUUUGAGCAGACCUGUGGUCUAUGGAAGCUGUUUCUUUUACACUGCAAACAGGGAAAUUUAUAGGUGUUAAAUUUGCUAUAAAAUUGUUCCUUUAUUGCUCCUUUACUAAUAAAACAUUAAAAAUUACAUAUUUGGAAAUCUAAAUAAAAGCAUUUUCAAACUGAAAUAAUAAAUACAACACAGUAUUAGAUAACUAAAACUUGCUCCCUUUAUGUGUAUACAUAUCAGAUAGGACACAUGAAAUGCCAGGAAAUAGGCAAUGAUGAUAUUUUCUCUGGAUAUUUAAUCUCUAAACACAUGAAAUAUAUUACAUACAGUAUAAUCCUGAUGAAAUAUAACUUGUUAUUCCAGAGGAUUGGGUAUGUGUUAGAGAGUCACCUAUGUCCACUGAAAGUUUAAAGCAUAGCAACAAUUCUACGAAAAAAACCCACACCUUUCUAUAACACUGUCUUCUAUCAAAUGACAAUUUGAUCAAAUUAAUCUUUGCCUUUAAUACUAAUAUUCUAAAUAAGCCUCCUUCUUUGGGGGUGAAUUAACAAAAAUUGCCCCUGGAUUGUUACUACCUUACAGAAUUUUUACUAUGCUUCCACACUCUAUGUUAGUGACUCGUGUUGAUUGGUCCAGUAUGGCUCAAGUGUAAAUAUCUUGACAUUAGAAAGAUUUAACAAUUUUAAGUGAUUUAUUAUGUGUCUUAAGCUAUCUUAUGUCUAUGGUUUAUUUUAUGUCUUAAGUUACUUUAUGUAAAAUAUUUGAGAAAAUAGAGAAGGAUAAGUAUCUGAGAAUGAAGGGUUUAAGAAUAUCACACAAGUUCAAUGUCUUUCCCCUCCCCAUAGAAAUUUUGACCAUUUUAGUGUCAGAAAAUUAAUGAGUCUGCUAGGCGCCGUGGCUCACGCUUGUAAUCCCAGCAUUUUGGGAGCCUGAGGCAGGCGGAUCAUGAAGUCAGGAGAUUGAGACCAUCCUGGCUAACACGGUGAAACCCCGUCUCUACUAAAAAUACAAAAAAUUAGCCGGAUGUGGUGGCGGGCGCCUGUGGUCCCAGCUACUCCGGAGGCUGAGGCAGGAGAAUGGCGUGAACCCGGAGGCAGAGCUUGCAGUGAGCCGAGAUGGCGCCGCCGCACUCCGGCCUGGGCGAAAGAGCAAGACUCAGUCUCAAAAAAAAAAAAAAAAAAAAAAAGAAAAGAAAAGAAAAAGAAAAUUAAUGAGUCUAAAGCUAUCUCAGCAAAUAAUGGGAUUUUCUUUCCUGACCUAAAAGGUUCUGAGAUUUCUCCAUUAGAAGCCUGCCUCACUGAGAGGUGAGGACUUUUUAACCAAUAAGCCUGGAGGUUUUAGGGCUUUAGUUUAGCAUAAGGAAUUCAGGAGAGAAUCCCUGGGAAUGUGAUUCUCCCUGAAGCAAGUCACAUGUUAUGAUACAUUAGAUGGGAGCUUCUGUGGUAGACCAUGUCCCUCUUAACAUUAUAACAGGGGAAAUCUUCCUUCUACCUCUUUUUUCAUACCCCUUACCUGUGUGACAGAGGGCCCUUCAGAUGCUUAGCUGCCUCUCCUAUUCUAGGAUCUCUUUCUGUCCUUUGAUUUUCAUCUUUAUCUCUCUUUCUCCAUGUCUCUUCCUAUCCUUUUGCUCCCAUGAAACUAUUUGUGCUAUGCUCUGUAUCCUUCCAGGUUGUGACUCAUGUCCCAUUUGAAGCUGGAGAAGCAGCAAGAUAGACUAAGAUAUGAAUUCCCUGGAUCUGCGUUGGUAGUUCCCUGCAUACUUUUUUUUUUUUUUUUUUGAGACAGAGUCUCGCUCUGUUGCCCAUGCUGGAGUGCAAUAGCGCAAUCUCAGCUCACUGCAACCUCUGCCUCCCAGGCUCAAGUGAUUCUCCUGCCUCAGCCUCCUAAGUACCUGCGAUUACAGUCACACACCACUGCACCCAGCUAAUUUUUGUAUUUUUAGUAGAGACAGGGUUUCACCAUGUUGCCCAGGCUGGUCUUAAACUCCUGACCUCAAGUGAUCCGUCCGCCUCGGCCUCCCAAAGUUCUGGGAUUACAGGUGUGAGCCACUGCAUCCAGCCUCCCUGCAUACUCUUAAGUAUGCCAAUAUUAGGUGAGUGGAUAUACAUGUCACUGGAAAAAGAACAUUUUGUGGCCUUACAAUGGAUGUUCUUUUCAGUAUCCCCCUGACAUGGCAAAACAAACUUACCGAGUGCUAAAGAUCCUCCAGGAGGAAAGGGAUGAAGACCUGGGGAAGGGAUCUCCGUCCCAUUUGAGAUUCAACCUAAGUAAAACUUUCUGAAGGGCUAAGAUAGCUCUGACUGAGGUCUCCCAAGAAGAGAGAGUCUGGCUCAGUGACAGGUUCAACACCAGAGCGUAGAGGUUUGUGGGGACAGCUUGUUCUAGAUCCUGUGUGUAGCUGUGGUUAGAAGCCCAAUUAUACCCAGCCACUUUGGCAAAGCUGUCAUGUUUAGGGAACAGUGGCUGAUUGUGUGAGUGUAAACCCAAUAAGCUGUUGUCUUGGGCGUCCAUAUGCACAGUGCUACCCUGCUGCCUGUGCAGUGUUCCAUAGCAGCAAGGCCAUUCCUACAGCAAGACAAGGACUCACUGAAGCCUGAUGGAAUCAGUUUUCAACAGUGACAUUGUACAGAAGUUAUGUUUAAAACCAGAACCUGUUAAUGGACUGGUCACAUGGACCACUGAAACAAGACUACUACCUUUGGACUAAGUUAAUUCUCAGGUUUCUGUACAACAGAGAGAAUGAAGGUUCCUUAAGAAAGAGAAACCAAAUUACCUACUAUAUGGAGGAAUGGAGGCUUAAGCAAGCAAUUGGAAAAAUAAAGAGAGAUCCCCAAAUUUUUCGUCCUAAACUGAUCGAGAUCCCUACAGAUUAUAUUUAAUAUGCUAACUCAUUGUGAAUCUCUAAGAGCUGAAGGGUUUGCUAAAUUUGUUUGACUACUGGACUUUUUAAAAAAAACUAUAUAUCUCAAGAGACUGGACUCUAAGGAACACUUGUUAUAAUAGAAAAUGCUUCUUCGGUGACAGAAUUUUAGAUAUUAGGUCAUGACAAAGGAGCAGCACAUUGGGAGCAGAGGCCCUUUCCUGGCACCCACCCAUAUAGUUGUUUGACUGUCUCAGAGUAGACUAGUUCUGGGGUUCUGUGCUGUUAAUCAUGUUGCUCUAGUGACUCUAACCCAAGAAGGGCAGAGUGUGCAGUGAGACAGUGCUGAGAUGGGAUUCCAACUUCCUCCUUAGCUCCAUCUAUCAUUAUUAGCCUUUGAAUAAUGCCCACCACCUGCAAUUGCUCGUUGGCUACAUGAGAGUAGAGAUUUCCCGUUUUAUUGUUUUAUGCAUCCUCAGUGUCUAGAACUGUGCCAGGCACCGUUUAAGUACUCAAUAACUAUUUAUCAAAUGAAUGAACUUCUGAUCUAACACUGUCCUGGCAAAGACACUAAAAGCCUAACUUAGCAAUUUCUUUUGUACAGUUUGUACCUUGUGGCUACAAAGAUUCAGGAAGUAUGAGAACAGUGAUGACUUGGAACUACUAACUAGGUUUGGUGGGCCCAGUCCUCAGCAGCAAACAGUAAAUAAUGUUUUAUUUGUAAAUCAAGUGAAACCUAUCUUUUCCCAGGUUGGACCAACCCAGAAUGGGGGUCGGGGUUACAACCAUCUCAAACCACAUCAGCUGAAUCACCAUCCCCCUAGUUCCACAUUGCUCAAUCUGAGGAUAAAUUGCAACAUAUUUAGCAACCUGUAUGGUGGCAUAUUUUAAUAAAUAAAUGUAUUUCUAUAAAUCAGUAUAUAAAUAAAAAUUAAAAAUAUUUCCUUUCUAGUCUUUAAACUAUGUAUCAUGAAACUGUUUACAGUGUAAUGUAGCUUACAAGGCAACAUUUUCAUCAAAUCAUUCUAAUAAUUUCUAAAUCAUUAUUGAUUUUUAGAAAUUAAUGGUAUGGUCUUAUGUUUGGUAAGCUCUCACUAAACUAAAUGCUGCUUGUCUCUAAGCUACAGUUUUAUGGAGGAAACUGUACUAAAUGCUUCCAAUGGCUUCUCCUUGUGUCGAUGGUUAUUAGGUGUGGUCCCAGGCAUGUGCCUCAGCAGGAGAGUGAUUGGGUGGGGUGCCCACUGUGUUUAGAAUGCUAGCGUUUUUCACCUCAUCUGUGUACCCAGAGUACUUUUGCUUCUGCCCCAUCUACAACCCUGUCACUAGCCCAGCUUGUUCUGCUACUCCUGCCAACCCUGGACCCCUCCUGAGCAGCAAGUAGGCACUGUGUCUGUCUCAGCUUCCACCUUGGUCUUCUUAUAUCAUGCUGCCCUGUCCAGAUGCACCAGUCCCAAGUCCCAAAACCACUCAUGCAGUGGCCACUGCAUGAUGUCAUUUGGUGGCAUGUGGUCUAACUUAAGCUACUUACCAACCAUCAGGGCAGAAUUUCCAGUUUCUACCUGCAGUAACAUCAUGCCUGUGUGUAUUGGCUGAAUAUAAGCCAUGGCCCCGUCUCUUCUGAGUAGUUCCGCAAAUCUCAAGGCCAUCUCUCACAUUUAUGUUAGAACAAGGCCAUGAAUGCUGUUUUCUUCUAUCUCAUGAUCCCUACCAUUUCUUCUUCUGUUUCUCACCUCAAUAAAAUGGCUCCCAUGUUGAUGCCUUGAUUCCCGGAAGGAGCUACUGUUUUGCUUUGCCUCUUAACAUCGCUCAGGUGAUGCUGCCCUUGCUGAUACUCUGUCUCUGAGCUGAAGCAGGAGAAAAUCCCCUCUGUUGGCCUGAGUGGCCCAUGGUCACCAGCCCAAGGCUGCCUCAUGCUCUUCGUGACUUACUGCUUGCUAUAAUCCUGAGUCUGUGGAUGAUCACAUCAGAAAACGCCCUCAGUUUACUGUUGCGUCCCACUGCUUCCCAUCUUCUGAAUUAAGACUGCACAUUCUGGCUCUUUGCCUUGGGUAAUCUUUUCCCCCAAUAACUUGGGAGCUUUGAUUCCAAGUGGCUUAGGAGAGUUGUUCUCCACACAGCUGGGUACCAGAAGCAGCCAGCUGAAUGGGACCAAGGCAUGAAGACUGAAAACCUCGCAGGUGACUUGGAUCUUCAUCCCAGGUUGAGAAUCUCUAGCUUAGGAGUCUCUUUUGAGUCCUAAAGGAAAUACUCAAUUUCCCCCAUCUGUCAGGUCCCUGCCACAUCUACCGACAUGUGCAAUGGGAUUAAUUCUUAAGAAAUUCAUAUACAGCUUAGACUGUUGCUCAGAGACUCCUGCCACUCUGUGAACCACCCCUAUGGACACUGAUGCACAAUUUCCUUUGGGUUGAUCUCAUAAGUUGCAUUUCCAAAAAAAAAAAAGAAAGAAAAUAAUAAGACCUUGACAUCAUAAGGAAACCACUUUUAGUUGCUCCAUUUCCUGGAGCCUACAGCUGGCAAAAUGCCUGGGACAAGAUGUAUUCAAUUCAAGGCAAAGCAGAGUUGUUAGGAGAAGCAGAUGGCCCACCUAAGGUGAAAAAAUUACUUUCUUGUGAGGAUAGGCAGGGCAGUUUAUUCACCUCUUCCUCUAGGAAGGUGAGAACGUGUGGAGACAAAAUAAAUAAAACACAUUACAAGCUCAUUCCACAGAUGAACAGAACAAUUGGUGCUGAACAAGUCUACAGGAGGCAUCUUCCAGCCUCCAGGAAAGCUGUAGGAGCUUGUCAUGCAUGCAUUAAAGUGCCCCCAGAACUCGAAAACCAUUCCAUCAGAGGAGCUAAUAAGAACCAACGAGUCAUUGACAACAGCAACCAUCAGUAACCCUCUCUGAGAGCUGGUAAUGAACAGCAACAAAUAUUGGGGAUAGUUAAGAUGAGCCAGGUAAAGGUUCAGGAAAAUGACUGAAUAGAUUACAGGCAGCAGGAACUGUGAUCCAUCUGAAGAAAAAGGGGAAUCAUGUGAGUGGAUGUGUGGCAGCUAGAAAAUCUGCACAUAUUGAGGUAAGAGGAGGCCAGGCAGUGAGAAUUUGUUGUGAUUAUCUAACUUUCCAGAGGAGAGAGACAUGUUUCUUGGUAGCUACUCAUGUUCAGAUUAUCUAGAAAGUACAUUUCAUUCAGAAGUCUUCUCCAAUAUCUGGAUGCUGCACCCCUUAAGGUUAUGCAAUGCUUUUGCUCUGAAUCCUUGUUCACAAGCAACAACCUGAUUAUGAAUUUGGUCUCCCAGGUACCUUGAUAAUGGGCAGAAUGUGUCCAAGAUUGAGGGAACAAGUUUGGAGAUCCUUGGAAAGGCUUAUUGUGUACCUGUUACAAAUAAAUAAAUGUGGGUUUUGUUUGAGA